rnacentral:misc_RNA from 1 species
AAGUCGUAACAAGGUUUCCGUAGGUGAACCUGCGGAAGGAUCAUUAUAAAAUUUUCAUAUAUUAAUUUAUUUAAUGUAUAAAAUAAUAUUUAUAUUCAAAACCCACACUCUUUAAACCAUUAUAUAAAAAAUAUAAUUAUAAAAACAACUUUCAACAACGGAUCUCUUGGCUCUC